UACAGCAGCUGAAGCGGCGGCGGCGGCGGCGGAGGAGGCUCGGGCAGAGGGGCGGGAGCUGCGGCGGGAGCGGACGGGCUGGUGGGCUAGCGAGUGGCGGCGGAAUGGUGGACUACCACGCGGCGAACCAGUCGUACCAGUACGGCCCCAACAGCGGGGGCAAUGGCGCCGGCGGCGGGGGAAGCAUGGGCGACUACAUGGCCCAGGAGGACGACUGGGACCGGGACCUGCUGCUGGACCCGGCCUGGGAGAAGCAGCAGCGCAAGACGUUCACAGCCUGGUGCAACUCCCACCUUCGGAAGGCCGGCACACAGAUCGAGAACAUCGACGAGGACUUUCGAGACGGGCUCAAGCUCAUGCUCCUUCUGGAGGUCAUCUCAGGAGAGCGGUUACCUAAGCCGGAGCGGGGCAAGAUGAGAGUACACAAAAUCAACAAUGUGAACAAAGCUCUGGACUUCAUCGCCAGCAAAGGAGUCAAGCUGGUCUCCAUCGGGGCGGAAGAGAUUGUGGACGGCAAUGCAAAGAUGACCCUGGGAAUGAUCUGGACCAUCAUCCUCAGGUUCGCCAUCCAGGACAUCUCUGUGGAAGAGACCUCUGCCAAGGAAGGGCUACUUCUGUGGUGUCAGAGGAAGACUGCCCCGUAUAAGAACGUCAACGUGCAGAACUUCCACAUCAGCUGGAAGGAUGGUCUUGCCUUCAAUGCACUGAUCCACCGGCACCGACCAGAGCUGAUCGAGUAUGACAAGCUGAGAAAGGACGACCCUGUCACCAACCUGAACAAUGCCUUCGAAGUGGCCGAGAAAUACCUAGACAUCCCCAAGAUGUUGGAUGCAGAGGACAUCGUGAACACGGCCCGGCCCGACGAGAAGGCCAUAAUGACCUAUGUGUCCAGCUUCUACCAUGCCUUUUCGGGAGCGCAGAAGGCUGAGACCGCUGCCAACCGGAUCUGCAAGGUGCUGGCCGUCAACCAGGAGAAUGAGCACCUCAUGGAAGAUUAUGAGAGGCUGGCCAGUGACCUCCUGGAGUGGAUCCGGCGCACCAUCCCCUGGCUGGAGGAUCGGGUGCCGCAGAAGACCAUCCAGGAGAUGCAGCAGAAGCUGGAGGACUUCCGGGACUACCGGCGCGUCCACAAGCCACCCAAGGUGCAGGAGAAGUGCCAGCUGGAGAUCAACUUCAACACGCUGCAGACGAAGCUGCGCCUCAGCAACCGGCCCGCCUUCAUGCCCUCUGAGGGCAAGAUGGUCUCGGACAUCAACAACGGCUGGCAGCACCUGGAGCAGGCCGAGAAGGGCUAUGAGGAGUGGCUGCUGAACGAGAUCCGCAGGCUGGAGCGGCUCGACCACCUGGCAGAGAAGUUCCGGCAGAAGGCCUCCAUCCACGAGGCCUGGACCGACGGGAAGGAGGCCAUGCUGAAGCAGCGGGACUAUGAGACGGCCACCCUGUCGGAUAUCAAAGCCCUCAUUCGCAAGCACGAGGCCUUUGAGAGCGACCUGGCUGCACACCAGGACCGCGUGGAGCAGAUCGCAGCGAUUGCUCAGGAGCUCAAUGAGCUGGACUACUACGACUCACACAACGUCAACACCCGCUGCCAGAAGAUCUGCGACCAGUGGGACGCCCUUGGCUCUCUGACCCAGAGUCGCAGGGAAGCUCUGGAGAAAACGGAGAAGCAGCUGGAGACCAUCGACCAGCUGCACCUGGAGUACGCCAAGCGGGCAGCACCCUUCAACAACUGGAUGGAGAGCGCCAUGGAGGACCUCCAGGACAUGUUCAUCGUCCACACCAUCGAGGAGAUCGAGGGCCUGAUUUCAGCCCACGACCAGUUCAAGUCGACGCUGCCGGAUGCCGACAGGGAGCGCGAGGCCAUCCUGGCCAUCCACAAGGAGGCCCAGAGGAUCGCCGAGAGCAACCACAUCAAACUGUCGGGCAGCAACCCCUACACCACGGUCACCCCGCAGAUCAUCAACUCCAAGUGGGAGAAGGUGCAGCAGCUGGUGCCCAAGCGGGACCACGCCCUCCUGGAGGAGCAGAGCAAGCAGCAGUCCAACGAGCACCUCCGCCGCCAGUUCGCCAGCCAGGCCAACAUCGUGGGGCCCUGGAUCCAGACGAAGAUGGAGGAGAUCGGGCGCAUCUCCAUCGAGAUGAACGGGACCCUGGAGGACCAGCUGAGCCACCUCAAGCGCUACGAGCGCAGCAUCGUGGACUAUAAGCCGAACCUCGACCUGCUCGAGCAGCAGCACCAGCUCAUCCAGGAGGCCCUCAUCUUCGACAACAAGCACACCAACUACACCAUGGAGCACAUCCGCGUGGGCUGGGAGCAGCUGCUCACCACCAUCGCCCGCACCAUCAAUGAGGUCGAGAACCAGAUCCUCACCCGCGAUGCCAAGGGCAUCAGCCAGGAGCAGAUGCAGGAGUUCCGGGCGUCCUUCAACCACUUUGACAAGGACCACGGCGGGGCGCUGGGGCCGGAGGAGUUCAAGGCCUGCCUCAUCAGCCUGGGCUACGACGUGGAGAAUGACCGGCAGGUAUGCGCCCCCCUGGGCCCCAGCGGACUGUGGCAUUAACUGCUCUUCUCUCUCUCUCUCCUUCUCUCUGUCUCCCCUCCCUCUCGCCAUCCCACCCCUUGCCAUGUGUGUGCCAUUUCACUGGCUCUCUUGCCUCCUCCCUGCCCUGUGUCUCUCUGGACACCUUCCCCCUUACCCGGUCUCCCGGGGCCGCCUGUCUCCCCGGCUCCCGCCACUGUCCUGUCUCCCUGCUGUGCACAUGGGGCGGCCCCUCUUGCCUUCUCUGGGCCUGGUCUCCUCUGCUGUCCCUGCGUCCUCGAGCAGAAGCAGACAGGCAGCAUGGACUCCGAUGACUUCAGGGCUCUGCUUAUCUCCACAGGAUACAGCCUGGGUGAUGCCGAGUUCAACCGCAUCAUGAGCGUGGUUGACCCCAACCACAGCGGCCUCGUGACCUUCCAAGCCUUCAUUGACUUCAUGUCCAGGGAGACCACCGACACAGACACGGCCGACCAGGUCAUCGCCUCCUUCAAGGUCCUGGCAGGGGACAAGAACUUCAUCACGGCCGAGGAGCUGCGGAGAGAGCUGCCCCCGGACCAGGCCGAGUACUGCAUCGCUCGCAUGGCGCCCUACCAGGGCCCUGACGCCGUGCCCGGUGCCCUCGACUACAAGUCCUUCUCGACAGCCCUGUACGGCGAGAGUGACCUGUGAGGCCCAACCCCCCCGCCCCACCCCCGGAGAAAGCCUGACCGCACGCCCCCUCCUCACAGCCUCCAGGAGGGGCUGGGGGAGCCCUCUGCCCUUCUCCCCGCCACGGGGGCCUCCCAGGUCUUGUUCCCCUGACUCUGUAUCUAUGCAAAGCACUCUGUCAGUCUUUUCUGGGGGGGUGGGGUGGGCAGGGAGGGGCUGGGGCAGGCUCUCUCCUCUCUCUUCGUCAGUCGGCCCCCUCCCCCUGGAUAGGGGUGAGGGAGACGCUCGGGGUCAGCGCUUCUGGUCUGGUAAAUAUGUAUGAUGUGUUGUUUUGUUUUUUAACUCUGUGGAGGGGACAGUGGAUUCCCACAGCGAAACAGGUCACCUCUAGGUCCUAGGAAUGCCCUCCCCACCUCAUCCCUCCUUUGCCCGCCCCCCACCCCCGCCCCCCACGAGGUCCCUUCAAGGCCUCUCACAUCCAGGCCAAAGCCCUAUGUGCCUUGUCCAGGAACCGCCCGGGCCUGCCAUGGGCCCAGCAGAGGGUGACACAGUGCCCGACAGGGAAGAGGACCCCGCCCCUUCCCUUCUUCCCUCCCCCCCAACUUGCGAUUGCCAGGAGAUGGGGGCAUGCAACUCGGCACCCCCCCCUUUUCUGCAUCAGAGGAGUAGGGUUGGGCAGACCAGCCUCUCAUCCCCAGCCAGCCCCCCCCAUCUUGCUUUAUCCGGACAUGUGUAUCUCUCAGCUUUUCUAAGGACCAAAAAACAAAAACACCACAAAACAAAAACAAAAAACCCACAAAAAAAAAAAAACCUAUAAAAAGAAAGGAAUUAAAAACUUUCAGAGAAUUACUAUUUACUUUAUUAACUUACGGAUUUAUUAUAUAAAUAUAUAUUCAGCUAGCGACAUACCCUCGCUGCCUCUUGCUCUCGUAACGCAGACAUAGCUGAUUUGCUGCCCUCCCCCCAGCCCCCUGCUGAUCUUUCUCUGUUGUCUGUCGUUGGGCCUGGGUCUCUGGGGACCCUCCUGAGGUGGAGGGUGGGCUGCUGGCCUGGCUGCCUGUUAGUUGAUGGGUUUUGCUCCCUUCCCCUCCCCCCCCCCUUUUUGAGUUUAUUCUGAUUUAUUUUUUUUCUCGGUUUCUGGAUAAACCACCCUUCUGGGGACAGGAUAAUAAAACAUGUAAUAUUUUUAAGAAGGA